UACGUAGGCAGCAAGCGUUGUUCGGAAUUACUGGGCGUAAAGAGUGUGUAGGCGGUGUUCUAAGUUUGUCGUGAAAUCUCCCGGCUUAACUGGGAGGGUGCGGCGAAAACUGGAAUGCUAGAGGAUGGGAGAGGUAAGCGGAAUUCCUGGUGUAGCGGUGAAAUGCGUAGAUAUCAGGAGGAACACCAAUUGCGAAGGCAGCUCGCUGGGACGUUACUGACGCUGAGACGCGAAAGCGUGGGGAGCAAACAGG
rnacentral:rRNA from 1 species